GAGUUUGAUCCUGGCUCAGGAUGAACGCUAGCGGCAGGCCUAAUACAUGCAAGUCGGACGGGAUCCAGUUUGUAGCUUGCUACAAACUGGUGAGAGUGGCGCACGGGUGCGUAACGCGUGAGCAACCUACCCAUAUCAGGGGGAUAGCCCGGAGAAAUCCGGAUUAACACCGCAUAAGAAUACAGGAUGGCAUCAUCUAGUAUUUAAAUAUUUAUAGGAUAUGGAUGGGCUCGCGUGACAUUAGCUAGUUGGUAAGGUAACGGCUUACCAAGGCUACGAUGUCUAGGGGCUCUGAGAGGAGAAUCCCCCACACUGGUACUGAGACACGGACCAGACUCCUACGGGAGGCAGCAGUAAGGAAUAUUGGUCAAUGGAGGGAACUCUGAACCAGCCAUGCCGCGUGCAGGAAGACUGCCCUAUGGGUUGUAAACUGCUUUUGUCCAGGAAUAAACCUACAUACGUGUAAGUAGCUGAAUGUACUGGAAGAAUAAGGAUCGGCUAACUCCGUGCCAGCAGCCGCGGUAA
rnacentral:rRNA from 1 species